rnacentral:tRNA from 1 species
GCUGGAAUAGCUUAGUUUUUAGAGUGUGUGGUUGUUAACUAGAAGGUCGUAGGUUCAAGCCCCUCCUGUUAGCA